rnacentral:rRNA from 1 species
GACGAACGCUGGCGGCGUGCCUAAUACAUGCAAGUCGAGCGGACAGAGGGGAGCUUGCUCCCGGAAGUUAGCGGCGGACGGGUGAGUAACACGUGGGCAACCUACCCUGUAGAUCGGGAUAACAUCGAGAAAUCGGUGCUAAUACCGGAUAAUCAUUUGAAGUGCAUGCUUCGAAUGUAAAAGAUGGCUCCGGCUAUCACUACGGGAUGGGCCCGCGGCGCAUUAGCUAGUUGGUAAGGUAAUGGCCUACCAAGGCAACGAUGCGUAGCCGACCUGAGAGGGUGAUCGGCCACACUGGGACUGAGACACGGCCCAGACUCCUACGGGAGGCAGCAGUAGGGAAUCUUCCGCAAUGGACGAAAGUCUGACGGAGCAACGCCGCGUGAGUGAUGAAGGUUUUCGGAUCGUAAAGCUCUGUUGUUAGGGAAGAACAAGUGCCGUUUGAAUAAGGCAGCACCUUGACGGUACCUAACCAGAAAGCCACGGCUAACUACGUGCCAGCCGCCGCCGUAAUAC